GCACUUACGCGGAGCGGUAAUGUGAGGAAGCCUCCCGCCAAACAGAUGAGGGAGGAGGAGGAGGGGAGAGGCCAGAGAGAGAAGCGGCUUUCGGGAAGGAAAGUGUGAUCUAGUAGGUGGAAUAGUCCUCUCCAAACUUUGACCUGAGAAUGACCCUCUAUUUGGAUUUGGAUUACACAAAGUUUAACGUUUUUUGGAAAAAUCCUACCUAGGUAAUGUGUAGUUCUCAAUGCAUCAUGUCAGGCAGCUUAUGAUGCCAAUUUGUCCCAUGGAAAGAAAAAUGUACUGUAUUUCACUGUGCUGAAUGCAACUGCCAAUCAAGAUAGUCUGCAGCCUACCUGUGGACCUUAAUGAUUUCACAUGUUCUGCGGAAGAAUUUCUCCCCCACCUCCAAUGACUAUGGCAUUCCUUGGGAAAGUUAGCUUGGUAUUUACUUUUCCCCAGCAGGUCCCAAGCUGACCAAAAAAAUAAAUAAAAAUAAAAAAUAAAAUCAACAACAACAACAACAACAACAAAAACACAAAACAACAAUCAGUUAGCCAGGCUGUUUCAAUGGCCCAAUAAGUUCCAUGAUAGCAAGAAUUCUAUGAAUAAUAAUGGGACAUGGAAUCCCAUGCAGCCUCGCGGAGAGCUCAGCCAAAUCACCCGGAAAUUCUGCUUCAUCACAGCCCUUUCUCUUGCCAUAAAACUGCUUGGGCUCUGUCUUUGCUUCCACAUCAUUUAAGCCUUUCUGCCGACCCUCCAGCAAUUCCAUCCCUGGGGCCUCCGCCCGUCACUAUGCUGGGGCUCCCCAGGGCUUCUCAAGAGGCUCCGUCAGCUCCAUCCUAGAGGCCUCUUCACAGCACCAGAUGAAGUCCACACCUCCUUUUGUAGGACGUUCAAGCAACACAGGCCAGAGUAAGGAUCAAAGUAAAAGUCAUCCUAAAUUCACCACUGAGAGAUACCACUGCCGGUAAACAGGAGACUGCUUUUUCGGAUGUCUACGCAUUUAUACAUCUUGCCCAGUAACAAUGCUCAUAAACGAGCUCUCGAGGCAGUUUUGUUAGGCUCCAAAAAAGGCUUUCACGAGGUCAAUGCCGGUGGCAUAAGUACCUGCUGGGCUUCCCAGGACAGCAGCUGACAGCACAGGCUUGGCAGACACCCCUGAGAGAGUCUUCGGCACAUAUGAUGUCCUCUAUUGAUGUUUGCUGAAUAGAUGAGGAUGCCAAAAGAGGGAGGAGAUACCAAAAGAGGGAAAGAAGGACACCCAGAAGACAAAUGGUGCUCACCUUGAGGAAAAAAAGAAAAAGGGAACACAUAGAAGCCAACUCCAGCCUUUAAACACGUAGGAGAUCCUCAGCUAUUUGUAUGUGUAAAAUGAAGGAAGACCAAUGCCUGCUUUCCCUCCCUCUCAAUCCAGUCAAGAAACUAUGUAGUCAAGACUUACAUAGUUCCAGGAACAGGAAACUCACUCUACAGCCUUGUGAAGAAACUGAUUCCAUCUUUGGACACUUCUUUAUAAUAAACCCCAAAUCUCUCUCCUUAGAACUCAUACCUAGUGACUCCAUUUGCUUCUCUUGAGGUCAUCAAUAUCAAAUCUGCCUUCCUCAUGACAGCCUUUCAAAUAUUAACAGACACUGUCAUAUGUUUCAAAUAUUAAAAAAUACUGUCA
ensembl:lncRNA C21orf62-AS1 C21orf62 antisense RNA 1